rnacentral:rRNA from 1 species
AACAAGUUCCCGGAGGGAAAGGUGAAAAGAUCUUGUUAAAAAGAGUAAAAAGACCUUGAAAAUAAAUACUAAAUAAGCAUUUGGAGCAAUGUGAAAUUGUGACAAUAUACCUUUUGCAUAAUGGGUCAAUGAGUAUAUUUAUAUAGCAAGUGUAAGUCGUGAGAUGGACACGUAGUGAAAGCGUAUAAUAGUUAUAUGAAUAUGACCCGAAACCAAGUGAUCUAUUCAUGAUCAGGUUGAAUAUGUAUAAGACCUAUACGUAGGAGGACCGAACCCGUGUAUGUUGCAAUAUACUGGGAUGAAUUGUGAAUAGGGGUGAAAGGCUAAUCAAACUUGGAAUAGCUGGUUUUUUGCGAAAUUUAUAGAGGUAAAGUAUUAUUCUUUGUUUAUUUAUUGUAAAGCACUCUAUAACUAAUGGGGAUUUUUUUCUUACUGAGGUUAUGAAAACUUUGAAGAUAAAUAAAAUAAAUAAUAGUGAUCGGAAUAAAGGUGAUAAGGUCUUUAUUCGAAAGGGAGACAGCCCAGACUAUAAAUUAAAGUCUCGAAAUAUUCCCUUAGUGAUAAGAGAAGCUAAAUAAGUAAAGGGUUUAGGAUGUAGGCUUGGAAGCAGCCAUCAUUUAAAGAAAGCGUAAAUGCUCACUGAUUCCUUUUAUUUGGUUUUACAGAUGUAAAGAGGCUAAAGGGAAUUACUGAAAUUAUAGGAUUAAACGUCGGUAGCAAAAUGCUUUGUAUAUAACAAAGAUAUGUUACUCAAACAUAUUAGUAAAUCAAAGUUAAUCAUAUUGACAUGAGUAACUCAAAUAAUGUGAGAAACAUUAUCACCGGAAAAUCCAAGGGA